ACAACUAUGGGCAAGCUGGAAAUGCAAUUGGAGUGGACCUAAUAAACAACCCUGACCUAGUUGCCACGGACGCAACCAUAUCAUUCAAAACAGCCAUAUGGUUCUGGAUGACUCCACAGGGUAACAAGCCAUCGAGCCACAAUGUGAUUACACAAAGAUGGUCACCCUCUGCAGCAGAUACCGCGGCUGGUCGCGUCCCUGGCUACGGUGUCAUCACUAACAUAAUUAACGGCGGGCUCGAGUGCGGUCACGGCAGGGAUG
rnacentral:lncRNA from 1 species